GCUAUUCUGUAGCAAUACAGAAUAGCGCUAGUGGCGAACGGGUGAGUAAUACAAAAGCAACUUACCUCAGAGUGGAGCAUAACUCCGAGAAAUCGGUGCUAAUUCUCCAUAUUCUCAGCAGAUGCGAGUCUACCGAGGAAAGAUUUCGGUCGCUCUGAGAUAGGCUUUUGGCCUAUCAGUUUGUUGGUGAGAUAACAGCUCACCAAGGCUCCGACGGGUAGGGGGUGUGAGAGCAUGACCCCCCACAUGGGAACUGAGACACGGUCCCAACUCCUACGGGAGGCAGCAGUCUAGAAAUUUGGGCAAUGGGCGAAAGCCUGACCCAGCGACGCCGCGUGAGGGAUGAAGUUCUUCGGAAUGUAAACCUCUGUUGAGGGGAACGAUAAUGACGGUACCCCUCGAGGAAGCCUCGGCUAACUCCGUGCCAGCAGCCGCGGUAAUACGGAGGAGGCAAGCGUUGUCCGGAAUCACUGGGCGUAAAGGGUGUGUAGGUGUCCUGAUGGGUCAAGUGUGAAAUCCAACAGCUCAACUGUUGAACUGCAUCUGAAACUAUCGGGAUAGAGGACACGAGGGGAGAGUGGAACUCGCAGUGUAGCGGUAGAAUGCGUGGAUAUUGCGAGAAAUGCCGAUGGCGAAGGCGGCUCUCUAGUGUGUUCCUCUUAUGAGGAGCCGAGUCAUUUUAAUCUUCGGGUUACGAUUUCUCGGUCCUGACACUGAAACACGAAAGCUGGGGGA
rnacentral:rRNA from 1 species